GUUAGGAUAGAGCAAUUGGUAGCUCACUGGGCUCAUGCCCCAGAGGUUGUAAGUUCAAGUCUUACUCCUAACA